UCUAAUCUAAUAAAAAACCAAAAAAACAACAAACAAAUCACGCAAAACUAAAAAUCCACUAAAGCCUAACCGCCCUCCUUCCCUCAACCACCCGCCCCGGCCGCCCUCCUGCUUAGAUCACCCCCACCCCGCCGCCUCUCGAUUCCCAAACCCUUCGCCACCACCUGCCGCACCCGUUGCUGAUGGAGAACUUGGCAGGCAGCGGCCUCCGCACCGCCCGCCCCGGUACCGAUGGCCUCCUCGUGGAGGCCGCCUACGGGGUCAAGCUCACACGACGGCCGUCGCCAUAGCUGCCGACGCCUUCACUCCGUCGGGCCACUAUCUCCCUCUUCACUUGGCCGCCACCUUCGCCGUGCAGGGGCGCACACGAUCUUCGCCCCCGUCGCCCUCCAUGGCCGCCACCUCCAGAGGAACGGCGCUCGGUGGCCUGCACCCGAACCCUAACGAUGACGGCCCCAGGCUCCGGUCACUGGCGGGGAAAGGGAAGCCCGUCCCUCUAGCCGACAUCACCAGCACCAGGCGGCUGAACCCCACUAGAUCCAUCAGUGUCGCCAACGUUGUCAAGGAGAACGCCAAGUUGCAUCAUCUGCUCAGCGAGAAGACAAAGAUCAUCGAGGUCAGUAGAGUUGAGAUGCACAAGCUCUGCCUCACGCUGAAAGCAUCACACCAGCAGAAACCUGCAGCUCACACAGACCAAUUCUCAGAUGCUCGCGGAACUAAAUCUGGGGAAAGAUAGAGUAUUGCAAUAUGAGCUGUCAUGUACAGUAGCAGUGCUUAAGUAAAGGAUUCAGAACUCGAGCGUAAGAAUAAGACUGCUAAUCAACGGCGGAAGAAAGUAAAUUCACAGGUAGAUAGCAAAUUUGUAAGUAAAAAGAUUCACCAUGGUAAUAUACAACUAAUAUAAUUAUGAGAUUGUUUGAUUUCUAUAAUGAAAUUAGGAGGUCAUGAAAGCCAUAACUUCCAAAGUUGCAGCAGUUGAGGCUCAUCGAAUUGAUGGUUCAGUCACCAGUGCCGUUGAACACCAUUUGGUUGGAUCUCAAUGUAAAGCUAACACUUCUUUCUUUUAUUUUUUUGUGGAUUUUUUAUUGUACUCAGCAGUCAUUUCGUACUGCUUUAUUCAACACGAGUUGUCUGUUGUGUAAGUUUAUUCAUGGUGGUUUCGGUCAGUAUUGUGGCAUUCUCAUUUUGCUAGCUUUGUAAUGUACUAUUGUCUCAUGAGUGUUACAUUCCAAACAGUAAUAGUAAUCAGCAAUGGUCUGCCAUCGAUACAUUUGAUUUAUCGGUG